UGGGGGAAUAUUGGACAAUGGGCGCAAGCCUGAUCCAGCAAUGCCGCGUGUGUGAAGAAGGCCUUCGGGUUGUAAAGCACUUUUAUCAGGAGCGAAACGCUGUCGGCUAAUACCCGGCGGAACUGACGGUACCUGAGGAAUAAGCACCGGCUAACUUCGUGCCAGCAGCCGCGGUAAUACGAAGGGUGCAAGCGUUAAUCGGAAUUACUGGGCGUAAAGCGUGCGUAGGCGGUUUCUUAAGUCUGCUGUGAAAUCCCCGGGCUCAACCUGGGAAUGGCAGUGGAUACUGGGAGGCUAGAGUGUGUCAGAGGGUGGUGGAAUUCCCGGUGUAGCGGUGAAAUGCGUAGAGAUCGGGAGGAACAUCAGUGGCGAAGGCGGCCACCUGGGACAACACUGACGCUGAGGCACGAAAGCGUGGGGAGCAAACAGGAUUAGAUACCCUGGUAGUCCACGCCCUAAAGCGAUGGCGAACUGGAUGUUGGUCUCAACUCGGAGAUCAGUGUCGAAGCUAACGCGUUAAGUUCGCCGCC
rnacentral:rRNA from 1 species